rnacentral:rRNA from 1 species
AGAGUUUGAUCAUGGCUCAGAAUCAACGCUGGCGGCGUGCCUAACACAUGCAAGUCGUACGCGAAAGGGGCUUCGGCCCUGAGUAGAGUGGCAAACGGGUGAGUAACACGUGGGUGACCUGCCUCAGAGUGGGGGAUAACGUCCCGAAAGGGACGCUAAUACCGCAUAACAUCCUGCCUUUGGAAAGGCGGAGAUCAAAGCCGGGGAUCGCAAGACCUGGCGCUUGGAGAGGGGCCCGCGUCUGAUUAGCUAGUUGGUAGGGUAAUGGCCUACCAAGGCAACGAUCAGUAUCCGGCCUGAGAGGGCGGACGGACACACUGGGACUGAGACACGGCCCAGACUCCUACGGGAGGCAGCAGUGGGGAAUUGUUCGCAAUGGGCGCAAGCCUGACGACGCAACGCCGCGUGGAGGAUGAAGAUCUUCGGGUCGUAAACUCCUGUCGAGCGGGAAGAACACUUUCCGGGUGAACAAUCCGGAAGGCUGACGGUACCGCUAAAGGAAGCCCCGGUAACUCGUGCCAGCAGCCGCGGUAAUAC